AAAAUUAUGAAUAUAAGAAACUAUUAUUUGUAUGAUUUUUGAGUUUGUUUUUGGAUGAUAUUUGGAUUAUAUUGUACUUUUUAUUAUUAUUUUGAAUUGUUUUUAACAUGAUUUUUUGGGAGUGAAAAUUGUUUAAAUUUAAAUUACAGAAAGUUUGUAUUUUUUAUUUAUUUUAAAAUAAUGUAAUUAAAUGGGCUAGUGAGCCAACCCGUUUACCCACCAACCCGUGGUGGGUCAGACCGGGUUCAAGUUUUUCUAACUCGCUAAUAAAUGAGUCGGGUUGGGUUGACUCACUAAAUGACCAAACCUGUGGUGGGCCGGGCCGGGUUGAACUGGAUUACCCGUUUUGACAACUCUACCCGUGGGAUUGUCUGAUGAAGGAUGAAUUUUUUAUGUCGUGCAGUGCUCUACCCCCUUUCAAAACGUGUCCCCCCUUUUUUAUGACAAACUUUUUUCACGUUUUCCUUUUCUUUUCCUUUUUUUUCCUUUUUUUUUUUCUUUUAUCCUUUUUCCUUUUAUUUUUCUUUUCUCUUUUUCUUCUAUUUUCGUUUUCUUUUUUUUUUUGUUUUCUUUUCUUUUUUCC
rnacentral:lncRNA from 1 species